rnacentral:rRNA from 1 species
GGCGGCGUGCUUAACACAUGCAAGUCGAGCGGAAAGGCCCUUCGGGGUACUCGAGCGGCGAACGGGUGAGUAACACGUGAGCAACCUGCCCUAGGCUUUGGGAUAACCCCGGGAAACCGGGGCUAAUACCGAAUAGGACCACCGGCCGCAUGGCUGGUGGUGGAAAGUUUUUCGGCCUGGGAUGGGCUCGCGGCCUAUCAGCUUGUUGGUGGGGUGAUGGCCUACCAAGGCGACGACGGGUAGCCGGCCUGAGAGGGCGACCGGCCACACUGGGACUGAGACACGGCCCAGACUCCUACGGGAGGCAGCAGUGGGGAAUAUUGCACAAUGGGCGGAAGCCUGAUGCAGCGACGCCGCGUGAGGGAUGACGGCCUUCGGGUUGUAAACCUCUUUCAGCAGGGACGAAGCGUAAGUGACGGUACCUGCAGAAGAAGCGCCGGCCAACUACGUGCCAGCAGCCGCGGUAAGACGUAGGGCGCGAGCGUUGUCCGGAUUUAUUGGGCGUAAAGAGCUCGUAGGCGGCUUGUCGCGUCGACUGUGAAAACCCGCAGCUCAACUGCGGGCCUGCAGUCGAUACGGGCAGGCUAGAGUUCGGUAGGGGAGACUGGAAUUCCUGGUGUAGCGGUGAAAUGCGCAGAUAUCAGGAGGAACACCGGUGGCGAAGGCGGGUCUCUGGGCCGAUACUGACGCUGAGGAGCGAAAGCGUGGGGAGCGAACAGGAUUAGAUACCCUGGUAGUCCACGCUGUAAACGUUGGGCGCUAGGUGUGGGGGGCCUCUCCGGUUCUCUGUGCCGCAGCUAACGCAUUAAGCGCCCCGCCUGGGGAGUACGGCCGC